GGUGAACGCUGGCGGCGUGCUUAAGACAUGCAAGUCGAACGGCAGUCUUCGGACUGUAGUGGCGCACGGGUGAGUAACGCGUAAUUGACCUACCCCAAAGUCGCGGAUAACGAUUCGAAAGAAUCGCUAAUACGUGAUGUGCUGUCAGAUUGUGUUCUGCCAGUAAAGAUUGAUUGCUUUGGGAUGGGGUUGCGUUCCAUCAGCUAGUUGGUGGGGUAAAGGCCCACCAAGGCGACGACGGAUAGCCGGCCUGAGAGGGUGGCCGGCCACAGGGGCACUGAGACACGGGUCCCACGCAUACGGGAGGCAGCAGUUAGGAAUCUUACACAAUGGGCGAAAGCCUGAUGGAGCGACGCAGCGUGAGGGAUGAAGGUCUUCGGAUCGUAAACCUCUGAAUCAGGGACGAAAGACACUUCGGUGGGAUGACGGUACCUGAGUAAUAGCACCGGCUAACUCCGUGCCAGCAGCCGCAGUAAGAC
rnacentral:rRNA from 1 species